AACGAACGCUGGCGGCAUGCCUAACACAUGCAAGUCGAACGAGACCUUCGGGUCUAGUGGCGCACGGGUGCGUAACGCGUGGGAACCUGCCCUUAGGUUCGGAAUAACUCCCCGAAAGGGGUGCUAAUACCGGAUAAUGUCUUCGGACCAAAGAUUUAUCGCCUUUGGAUGGGCCCGCGUUGGAUUAGCUAGUUGGUAGGGUAAAAGCCUACCAAGGCGACGAUCCAUAGCUGGUCUGAGAGGAUGAUCAGCCACACUGGGACUGAGACACGGCCCAGACCCAGCGGGGGCGGAGGGGGGGGAAAUAUGGGAAAGGGGGCGAGGGCUUAACAAAGAAGGGCGGGGGGAGGAAGGAGGGCUUGGGGGUUGAAAACCUUUUUUCCCCGGGAGGAAAAGAAGAGACGGGGGAAAAAAACCCCGGCCAACCCCGGUC
rnacentral:rRNA from 1 species